CAAGCCCUGGAAACGGGGUCUAAUACCGGAUAUGACCACCGGCGGCAUGUCUUGGUGGUGGAAAGCUCUAGCGGUGCAGGAUGAGCCCGCGGCCUAUCAGCUUGUUGGUGGGGUGAUGGCCUACCAAGGCGACGACGGGUAGCCGGCCUGAGAGGGCGACCGGCCACACUGGGACUGAGACACGGCCCAGACUCCUACGGGAGGCAGCAGUGGGGAAUAUUGCACAAUGGGCGGAAGCCUGAUGCAGCGACGCCGCGUGAGGGAUGACGGCCUUCGGGUUGUAAACCUCUUUCAGCAGGGAAGAAGCCUUUGGGUGACGGUACCUGAAGAAGAAGCUCCGGCUAACUACGUGCCAGCAGCCGCGGUAAUACGUAGGGUGCAAGCGUUGUCCGGAAUUAUUGGGCGUAAAGAGCUCGUAGGCGGCUUGUUGCGUCGGAUGUGAAAGCCCGGGGCUUAACUCCGGGUCUGCAUUCGAUACGGGCAGGCUAGAGUUUGGUAGGGGAGAUCGGAAUUCCUGGUG
rnacentral:rRNA from 1 species